CCUACGGGAGGCAGCAGUGGGGAAUAUUGGGCAAUGGACGCAAGUCUGACCCAGCAACGCCGCGUGAAGGAAGAAGGCUUUCGGGUUGUAAACCUCUUUUGUCGGGGAGCAAAAGCCGGACGUGUCCGGCUGUGAGAGUACCCGAAGAAAAAGCAUCGGCUAACUCCGUGCCAGCAGCCGCGGUAAUACGGAGGAUGCGAGCGUUAUCCGGAUUUAUUGGGUUUAAAGGGUGCGCAGGCGGAUUUUUAAGUCAGCGGUCAAAUCGUGGGGCUCAACCCCAUCCAGCCGUUGAAACUGGGGAUCUAGAGUGUGCGAGAGGUAUGCGGAAUGCGUGGUGUAGCGGUGAAAUGCAUAGAUAUCACGCAGAACCCCGAUUGCGAAGGCAGCAUACCGGUGCACAACUGACGCUCAGGCACGAAAGCGUGGGUAUCGAACAGGAUUAGAUACCCGUGUAGUC
rnacentral:rRNA from 1 species